CCCAAAUGGGCCCUUGAGGAGAUAGGAAUUUGAAUCUGGAUUUUGAUGCAAAGGUUUUAGAGUUUGUAGUGUUCUUAAUGAAAAGGUUUUUAUGAUUUUCUGGGAUCUUAAAGCCAAGGCUCUUAAUGAAGAGCUCUUGACCAGAUGGGAAUUUGAAGUUUUGGGAUUUAACGCAAAGGUUUUUAGUGUUUGUAGUGUUCUUCAUGCCUGCAUUUUUUGUCAAUAUGAGUACUGCAAAAGCAUGGAUAGUGGGCAGAUUCCAUCCAUCAAAG
rnacentral:misc_RNA from 1 species